UACGUAGGGAGCAAGCGUUGUCCGGAAUCAUUGGGCGUAAAGCGCGCGUAGGUGGCCAUUUAAGUCCGCUGUGAAAGUCAAAGGCUCAACCUUUGAAAGCCGGUGGAUACUGGAUGGCUAGAGUACGGAAGAGGCGAGUGGAAUUCCUGGUGUAGCGGUGGAAUGCGCAGAUAUCAGGAGGAACACCAAUAGCGAAGGCAGCUCGCUGGGACGUUACUGACACUGAGGCGCGAAAGCGUGGGGAGCAAACAGG
rnacentral:rRNA from 1 species